GGUAAUAGUUUAGUUGCCAAAUCGCCAUUUUAUCCCAGGCUGCGCUAAUUUUACUUCUCGUACAUUCGGCACUUUUAAAAUCUUACCGAACGACCGGGACAGUCCCGGUCAAAGCGGGACGUACGAUCGGCAGAACCUCGAAGGCUGUGUGCGAGCUUGCACAUGUACUACCUUGCAGUCUAGUUUCCUGGCUGGUUAGUCGGGGGGUUGGCGAAGGGGAAAGCUAACGACCAGUUUUUGAACCGUAGAACCUAACCUGCGAGUGUACUUAGAAUGGCAAAACUUUCACUUCGACUAUCGGCCAUGUUGAAACCAAUGGGACAAUGACUGGCAAAAUUACUUAUAAAACAAUAUAAUUAAUUGGAUAAUGCGUGUAAAAAUAAUGUGUCGGAUAUUUUCUGCAAAUUUUCUCACCAUUUUCACUUAAAAGCACCAACAGCUGCAAAUUGGAAAUUCUAAACUGAGUUCUGGUCAACAUGAUAAGAUGUUAUGUCAACAGAUAUCUUCCAGAUCACUAUCACCCCCAAUGACGUUACCGUGCGCUAUUGGUUCCUUUAAAUGACGUCAUCGGCGGGUCCUAGUCGGAUUUGGGAGGGUAGUAAUUGUAUACAGUGAUUGGCACGUGAGACCCAACAUUGAACUGUUUACAUGGUUCGUUCUGGUGGGGGAUUCUUGUGUCGCCAUGACAACACAUCCUCAUUGGGUGCCAAUGGUUGCUUCGUCCAAUUUCUUAACUAUUGCAGAAGAAUGUGAUUGUAUUUGCCACGAAGAUAUUACAACCGAUUCCUGUUGUUGUCACGGUCUACAAUACGUUAAAAACUUCUAUAAUAAUAAAAUAUCUGUAAGUCAACUCGAGGAAUUUGAUGGAAUUGAAGACAUUUUGGCAGUCAGGUGAGUGCUUUAGUGUUAAAAACGCCCGAAAAAUUUAAAAAUGUUUAAAACAUAUUUUAUUUGCAAAUUAUAAUUUUAUUUCUUCAAGUUUUUAAAUAUUUUUCCUAUAAAAACUCGACUUAGUCAAUGAUUACCAUCUGUUAAAGAAUCUAUUCAGUUACACUGCAGCCAAGAAAUGAGAAAUUUAUUAAUCCCGAGAGACUAAUAAAAAUCGUAUCUGGAAGAUAAGAAAACAUAUAAAUUAAUAAAAGAAUAAAUAAUUUAAAACACUAAUUUACUUAAUUAGAAUGCCUUUAAAUAACGUGAUCUUAUCGGGGGGUACUCCAGUAAUUAAUGAGCUUAUUAUCGAAAGUAUGGGAAAUUUUGACCACAUCAUUGAUUUGUUAAGCGCUACUUUUCUAGAAAAAUUAAUUAAUUUAAUGCAAUCUCCAUAAUUUAUAAUCAAAAUGUUGACUUGAAAGU